CAAUAGCGUAUAUUAAAGUUGUUGCAGUUAAAAAGCUCGUAGUUGGAUUUCUGGUUGAAGCGACCGGUCGGGCGUUGAUUCGUCUGCACUGGAGUCGGUUUUGGCCAUCCUCUAGGAAAGUGCGUCUGGUAUUAAGUUAUCGGGCGUAUGAUCCUGGUCUUUUACUGUGAAAAAAUUAGAGUGUUUAAAGCAGGCCUUCGCCUUGAAUACAUUAGCAUGGAAUAAUAAGAUAGGACUUUGGUCUAUUUUGUUGGUUUGCAGACCGAAGUAAUGAUUAAUAGGGAUAGCUGGGGGUAUUUAUAUUCCGAUGUCAGAGGUGAAAUUCUUAGAUUUUCGGAAGAUAAACUUAUGCGAAAGCAUUUACCAAGGAUGUUUUCAUUAA
rnacentral:rRNA from 1 species